rnacentral:rRNA from 1 species
ACGGGUGAGUAACACGUGGGCAACCUACCUUAUAGUUUGGGAUAACUCCGGGAAACCGGGGCUAAUACCAAAUAAUCUCUUUCACUUCAUGGUGGAAGACUGAAAGACGGCAUCUCGCUGUCGCUAUAGGAUGGGCCCGCGGCGCAUUAGCUAGUUGGUGAGGUAACGGCUCACCAAGGCAACGAUGCGUAGCCGACCUGAGAGGGUGAUCGGCCACACUGGGACUGAGACACGGCCCAGACUCAUACGGGAGGCAGCAGUAGGGAAUCUUCCACAAUGGGCGAAAGCCUGAUGGAGCAACGCCGCGUGAGUGAAGAAGGAUUUCGGUUCGUAAAACUCUGUUGUAAGGGAAGAACAAGUACAGUAGUAACUGGCUGUACCUUGACGGUACCUUAUUAGAAAGCCACGGCUAACUACGUGCCAGCAGCCGCGGUAAUACGUAGGUGGCAAGCGUUGUCCGGAAUUAUUGGGCGUAAAGCGCGCGCAGGUGGUUUCUUAAGUCUGAUGUGAAAGCCCACGGCUCAACCGUGGAGGGUCAUUGGAAACUGGGGAACUUGAGUGCAGAAGAGGAUGGUGGAAU